AUAGUACUCCCUCCGUCUGGAAAUACUUGUCAUCAAAAUGCAUAAAAGGAGAUGUAUCUAGACGUAUUUUAGUUUUAGAUACAUCUUUUUUUAUCCAUUUAGGUGACAAGUAUUUUCGGAUGGAGGGAGUACUAC
rfam:Triticum aestivum genome assembly, contig: Triticum_aestivum_CS42_TGACv1_scaffold_220679_3B